CCUACGGGUGGCAGCAGUGGGGAAUAUUGGUCAAUGGGCGGAAGCCUGAACCAGCCAAGUCGCGUGAGGGAUUAAGGCCCUGCGGGUCGUAAACCUCUUUUGCCGGGGAGCAGUGGUCCGGACCCGUCCGGACCGGGAGAGUACCCGGAGAAAAAGCAUCGGCGAACUCCGUGCCAGCAGCCGCGGUAAUACGGAGGAUGGGAGCGUUAUCCGGAUUGAUUGGGUUAAAAGGGUGCGCAGGCGGAAGAUCAAGCCAGCGGGAAAAUUGAGGGGCUCAACCUCGUCGAGCCGUUGAAACUGGUUUUCUGGAGUGUGUGAGAAGUAUGCGGAAUGCGUGGUGUAGCGGUGAAAUGCAUAGAUAUCACGAAGAACUCCGAUUGCGAAGGCAGCAUACCGGCGCUCAACUGACGCUCAUGAACGAAAGUGUGGGUAUCGAACAGGAUUAGAUACCCCGGUAGUC
rnacentral:rRNA from 1 species